CCUACGGGAGGCAGCAGUGAGGAAUAUUGGUCAAUGGGCGCGAGCCUGAACCAGCCAAGUAGCGUGAGUGAUGACUGCCCUACGGGUUGUAAGCUUCUUUUAUAAAGAAGUAAAGUGCGGCACGUGUGCCUUUUUGUAUGGACUUUAUGGAUAAGGCACGCCUAACUCCGUGCAAGCAGCCACGGUAAUCCGGAGGAUCCGGGCGUUAUCCGGAUUUAUUGGGGUUAAAGGGAGCGUAGAUGGGUUGUUAAGUCAGGUGUGAAAGUUUGCGGCUCAACCGUACAAUUGCAAUUGAUACUGGCAGUCUGGAGUACAGUUGAGGUAGGCGGAAUUCGUGGUGUAGCGGUGAAAUGCGUAGAUAUCACGAAGAACUCCGAUUGCGAAGGCAGCUUACUAAACUGUAACUGACAUUGAUGCUCGAAAGUGUGGGUAGCAAACAGGAUUAGAUACCCGUGUAGUC
rnacentral:rRNA from 1 species